AGGAUCACCAUCGAUACAAUCCAACCCGCUUUCACUACCGAAAGCUCUCUCCUCCGCAGCUUCAUCUCAUCUCUCCUUCGAAGCUUCUCGUCUCCUCCGCAGCUUCAUCUCGUCUCUUCGUGCCGUCUUCAGAUUGGAGGUUCCAACCGGGAGAGAACUUUCGCGAGAGAGAGAGAGAGAGAGAGAGAGAGAGAAGAGAGAAACGAAGAAGAAAGAACACACCUCCUCUGACCUUUCAAAUGCCUACGCGUGUCAACAAGAAACGCCUCUUCCUGACCCUAAUUAAGACACGUUUCUUUUAUAAUUAUACAUUUUUAUAUUUUUUUUAAUCCAAAAUACCUUAAGAGACAUCUCAAGGCACUGCGAUAAAGGUGCUCUAAUAUGUAUAUGCAAUUUAUCAUAUGUUUUCGUCUUUAAAUUAUAAUGGAGUUUUUGAGAUUUAAUUGGGUCACCCUUAAACGUCACAUGAUCUGAUCUAUUCGUUAAUCACUCGCUAAUAUUAAUUGUUUUAAUUUCUUAGAAUCAACCAAAGGCAGCUAUUAUUUUUACGAAAUAAAUUUGUUUUAGAUUCAUUAAUUUGGCUAAGGGUUAGAUUUUUUCUUUCCAACUAGACCAUUAAAACCUAACGGUAUAAACUUAUUCGAUACAUGGCUACCCAACAACUGAAUUACUUUGAUGUUGGUGACUUUGUACGAGCUUAGAAAUUACCUAAGCUGCAAACAAGAUAACGAAGAUAGUAAUAAUACUCUUAGCAACAUGGUUGAAUUACAGUUUCAAAAGAAAAAAGAAAAAAAACAUGGUUGAACUAAUUGCGUUUGGUUAAAUUUUAUCUCUAUGAUUCAGCAAGUCAAUGAAAACCUCAUAGAACCACACCACAGGCAUGUCAAUCACACGUACGGUGUGAACUUCCAUGCUAAAGCAAUGUGUGAUUGAGACCAGACAGAGAACCACAGUAUACUAGGGAAAAUUGGCUAAUUCAUACAUCAACAAAGACCAACGGUUCCGAUCAGUACAUAAACAUGUUAUAUGUGCGAAAACAUACAUCAACUAGUACAAAAUUUAAUUUUUAUACGCGAACAUUCAAAAUUUGGUUUUAUCAUACAUUGACCUAAUUUUCGUUAGUCAAACGUUGUAACAGAAAAUCGGCUAAUUCCUACAUCAACAGGGACCAAUGGUCCAAAUCAAUACAUAAACACUUCACCUGUACAAAAACAUACAUCAACUAAUACAAAAUUUAAAUCCAAUACAUGAACUUUCGAAAUCUGGUUUUAACAUACACUAAACAUGCGCGUCCGCGCGGAUAUUUGUUGUUAAUUUUUUUAUAAAUUGUUUAAUGACAUUUCUAAAUAUAUAAAAUUUUGUUCAUUGUUAUGUUCCUACACAUAGAAACCAAACCCACCCAAACCAAACCAAACUAAACCAAAGAAAUAAAAAGUUUUUUUGUUAACUGGUUUGAAUUCUUGUCGCGGAUGAAGAAAAUUCAUUCAAACAUAUGAAAUUAUUAUGGUUAACAUGUAAAAUAAACGUUGUCGAAUUAUUAUGACAAAUAUAAUUAAUGAAGUAGUUAAGAAGUAUAAAAAAAUGUAAAAGAUAUAAUAAAACACUUAAAUAUAGGUAAGUUCUGUAUUAUAUUUCUAUAAGACAUCCUGUCAAAUUAUUUGGAAAAAUGCAAUUAAUAAAGUAGUUAAGUUGAGUAAAAAUAAAGAAAGAAAAGAUGUAAUAAAUCUGUUAAAAAUAAUGUUCGUUUUAUUUUGUACUCAAAUUUAGUAAAAUAGAUUUACCUAAUUUCCACUAGUCAAAUAAUACCGAAAAUAAAUUUUAUGUCACGUGUUGAUUAAGUAAAAUUUUUAUUGUAUUAUAUGAUAAUUAAACCGUAGUACGUAGUAAUUGACAGAGAGAAAUGAGAAUGUUUAGCUUAUCGAAGACAUUCUAUUUUCUCUUUGUUCAAUUUUGUCUUCUUUAGUUUUCUCGGUGUUAGUGUUUUCUUUUGUCGAAAAAGUUGAAGAAAAAAAUUAAUGAGAAAAGCUAACUAAUGAAUUACACGAGAAAGAAAUCGUUUGACCUACAUGUUUUAUUUUUCUAAUUCAAUUACCAUGUAAUACAAUUUAAUUACCACAUAAUACAAUAAAAAUCUUACUUAAUCAACACGUGACAGACAAUUUAUCUUCGAUAUUAUUUGACUAGUGGAAAUUAGGUAAAUGUCAAGCUUUAGCGUAUGUUAAAACCAGUUUUUAAAACUUCAUGUAUUGAAUUUAAAUUUUGUAUUAGUUGAUGUAUGUUUUUGCACAGGUGAAGUGUUUAUGUAUUGAUCCGUACCAUUGGUCUCUGUUGAUGUAGAAAUUAGCCGAUUUUCUAUUAUCGGUUAACGAAAACUCAACGUUUGACUAACGAAAAUUAGGUCAAUGUAUGAUAAAACCAAAUUUUGAAAGUUGAUGUAUGAAAAUUAAAUUUUGUAAUAGUUGAUGUAUGUUUUCGCACAGGUAACAUGUUUAUGUACUGAUCGGGACCGUUGACCUUUGUUGAUGUAGGAAUUAGUCGAUUUCCCGUAUAUUGAGGGUUCUGGUUUUAGCUUCGGUGCCUUGUUCGGUUCCAAAUCAGUGCCACUGUCAGACCUCUCUGCACUUUAGCUUUUGUUUUGUUUAAUUCCUUGUCUCUUUGAUUCAUUUCACAGUCACUCAACAGUCAACAUUCCCUUUUGUUUAUUAUGUUUUUUUUUUUGCUGAAAACAAAACUCUUUCUGUUAUGAACCAUAUUGUGGAUGGCUCAUAACCAAGAGAUUAUGAUUUGAAAUCUUUCCAUUUAUCUAUGACGGUGUAAUCUCCUAUAUAAGGAAACUUUAUGUUAUGAAUAAAUAUAGACUUUUCCAUUACUUUUAUAACACAUUAUCAGCACGAUGCUCUAAAUCCCUAAGCUAAUACCCAAAUCGAAAAAUCCUAAAAUCCUAACCCUAGCCGGUGAUCCGACGAACCCUAAACCCCGAUCGCGUCUCUUGUUCCCGCAUCUGUUCCAACUCACGUCCCCGAUCAGCUUCAGCCCAAGGCGUUCCUGAUCCUAGCUCAGUCGUUCGCGACCCGAGAGCAGCUCCAGCACGCGACCUCUUCCUCGUUCGCGACAGCAUUAGACAGCUCGCGUCCGCAGCUCAAGGCGUUCCCGAUCAAGCAACAAAGGACGUCCGCGACCCGAUAGAAGCGACUCGAUCCAUUCCAGCUCGCGUCCCGUUCGUGUCCAGCUCGCGGCUCAACUCCUUUGGUGGUCCGAUUCAACAAUCAUCUAAGGUUAAAAGGUAAUUCAAAACCUAAGAACCCAUAAUCGAACAUGGAUUGAUUGAUAAAGAAUGAAACCCUAAAACCCUAAUCUUUAUGAAUCAAAACCAUAGGGUAAUUGAGGUUUAAAUCCGUGUGAGUUAGGAUUGAUAGUUUUUAUAACCUGAUUGAAUGAUUUGAGGUUUAAUAUUGCAUGUUAGAAUCUGUUAUAAUGUAAAUCCUAAUUUGAAUUGAUAAACCCUAAAAUAGAAUCCGUGUAUUGCAUAAUCCGAAUUGAAUGUUUUGAGGUUUCAUAUUAUAUUAGGUUGAUAGUUUCAUGAUAUAAUCAACUGUUCUGGAGUUUAAGAUUAUUUGCUAGAAGCUGAUUAAUUGAUAAAACCCUAAUUUCGAAUUGAAACCCUAAACCUAAUUUGUGUAUAUCUAAAAUCAGAUUGCCUGAUUCCAUCUUGCUAAUAUCAGCCUUGAAACUGAUAAAUAUUAGCCUUGAAACUGAUUAAUAAAAUUUAUAGAAUCAGCCUUGAAAUUGAUUGUUUUGGUUUUUCAUGAUUGAAACCCUAUUUUUGGAUCGAAACCCUAAAUUGUGUAAUGCUUGAAUCCGUUUGAUUAUUUUUAAUUAUUGAUCCAAUUGCUAGUCUUGAUAAAACCUAAUUGAAUCUGAUUGUUAGUCUAGCUAAAUCUCAUACCUGAAACUGAUUGAUUAAUUGCUAAAUCUUGAUUGAAUGUUUUAAUAUUACCCUUGCACAUAUAUAAUCUGAUUGCUAAGAUUGAGUGCAUCAUAUCUACUUGGCCGUGUGGCCAGUUUGCAUCAUAUAUCAUCCUGACCAACAUGUUUAUGUUAUACGCAUGAUCUGAUUAUUAUCACCUUUGCAUGAUCUGAUUGUUUUAAAUUGAGGUUCCAUAAUUCCACUCCUGUACAUAUAGAAUCAGUAUGCUAGGUUUGCAUUAUAACCAUAUGGCCGCAUGAAAACAUAUAGAAAUUGCUUGUUUGGUCGAUACCCUUGCUUGAUAAAUCUAUGUGACUUAUUAUGCUUCAUAUAUCACUUUGGUCGUGUGGCCUGAUUGCAUUAUAUCACAUCUGAUCAGCGACCCGGUGACAUGUGGAACAUCGUCAGUUACGAACGACGAGCGUAGCUCCUUCCCUACAACGAGUGGUGACGCGAAACCUAAGGACAAUGAAACCCCAGAAUCCAGAAUCAAUAUAAAUCAAAAGUAGACGAAUUGGGAUGAUGCAUAGUGCAAAAGUGAUUACCUUUAAAAGGAUCACCAUCGAUACAAUCCAACCCGCUUUCACUACCGAAAGCUCUCUCCUCCGCAGCUUCAUCUCAUCUCUCCUUCGAAGCUUCUCGUCUCCUCCGCAGCUUCAUCUCGUCUCUUCGUGCCGUCUUCAGAUUGGAGGUUCCAACCGGGAGAGAACUUUCGCGAGAGAGAGAGAGAGACACUCUGACCUCUCAAACGCUUACGCGUAUCAACAAGAAACGCCUCUUCCUUCCUGACCCGAAUUAAGACACAUUCUUCUAUAAUUAUGUAUUUUUUUUAUUUAUUUUUUAAUCCAAAAUACUUCAAGAGACGUCCAGGAUUAUCCGGAGGGGAAAUGAGUUUUUAGCGGGGUUUUUAGGUUGG
rnacentral:lncRNA from 1 species